rnacentral:rRNA from 1 species
UGGGAACGUGUCCAGAUCUACGGAAUAGCCACUGGAAACGGUGAGUAAUACCGUAUACGCCCUUCGGGGGAAAGAUUUAUCGGAUUUGGAUCGGCCCGCGUUAGAUUAGGUAGUUGGUGGGGUAAUGGCCUACCAAGCCUACGAUCUAUAGCUGGUUUUAGAGGAUGAUCAGCAACACUGGGACUGAGACACGGCCCAGACUCCUACGGGAGGCAGCAGUGGGGAAUCUUGGACAAUGGGGGCAACCCUGAUCCAGCCAUGCCGCGUGAGUGAAGAAGGCCCUAGGGUCGUAAAACUCUUUCGCCUGUGAUGAUAAUGACAGUAGCAGGUAAAGAAACCCCGGCUAACUCCGUGCCAGCAGCCGCGGUAAUACGGAGGGGGUUAGCGUUGUUCGGAAUUACUGGGCGUAAAGCGCACGUAGGCGGAUUAGAAAGUUAGAGGUGAAAUCCCGGGGCUCAACCCCGGAACUGCCUUUAAAACUACUAGUCUAGAGUUCGAGAGAGGUGAGUGGAAUUCCGAGUGUAGAGGUGAAAUUCGUAGAUAUUCGGAGGAACACCAGUGGCGAAGGCGGCUCACUGGCUCGAUACUGACGCUGAGGUGUGAAAGUGUGGGGAGCAAACAGGAUUAGAUACCCUGGUAGUCCACACCGUAAACGAUGAAUGCCAGUCGUCGGA